rnacentral:rRNA from 1 species
GUAGGUGGCGAGCGUUGUCCGGAAUUACUGGGUGUAAAGGGCGUGUAGGCGGGUAGAUAAGUCAGAUGUGAAAAACCGGGGCUCAACCCCGGGGCUGCAUUUGAAACUGUCAAUCUUGAGUGCCGGAGAGGAAAGCGGAAUUCCUAGUGUAGCGGUGAAAUGCGUAGAUAUUAGGAGGAACACCAGUGGCGAAGGCGGCUUUCUGGACGGUAACUGACGCUGAGGCGCGAAAGCGUGGGGAGCAAA